AAAGGGAAAUACUCGGUAAGGUGUUUCCAUCUUUACCAGUUUCUCGAUUACAAUUCUUACUAUUCCUAUAUCGCUUUAUUGUGUUCAAAAAUGGAGUGCGAUAAUGCUAAUGAAGUGGCUAAAGUUAUUACUGGUUUCACAUAGAGCGUGAUUGUCUUUUCAACAAUACUAGCUAGCUUAUUUGACAAUGGUUUGAGAACCAAAAAAAAAAACAUACAAGAGCUAUCUUAGGAGGAAAAAGAAUUAAAGUAAGUAAAAGUAAGUUGGAAGCUUUUAUGAACCUCUCGAUUCCUCCUUUGCACCAAAAAAGCAAAUUUCAGAGGCUAAAGCUAUGCGCUUAAAAGCUUUGCACGAUGGGCUUAGUAGUAUUCUUUCAGAAGCAAAAUCUCAGGUAUGUUAAGGUUAUUCCUUCUUUCUUUUGGCAUGAUUCAUAUGAUACGAACGAAACAUACAAAUGCACAAAUUCCAUAAGUGACUCUAUUCAUAGAAGUAUUAGAAAUAUCUAUGUUCUUUAAUUUCCAUGUGUCAUAAUAUUUUAUCAUCUGUUCAUGGGUCUCAGAAAAAUACAAAAGUUGAAAAGAUGUUGCUUUGUGAUAUUGCUCAAGAGGCAAAAUGGUCUUAUGACAUUCCAAAUGAUUUUAUUGACGUACUUUUCAUGCAUUGCAUUCAUGUACAUUGAUCCAUGACCAGAUGGCGUUAUAUACGCGUAUAUAUGUAAAUAUAUGUAUAUGGGAUAUGGGAAAAGGUUACGGCGUUAUAUACGCACCACCACCUGAUCAGCUGGUAUAUGAUGAUGAUGUUGCCCACAGUGGCUGAAAUAUGAUUCAAACGGCAUCAUAUACACGUAUAUAUGUAAAUAUGAUUCAAAUGGUGUUAUAUAUGCGUAUAUAUGUAUGUAUAUAUAUGUAUAUGGGAUAUGAGAAAGGUUAUGGCGUUAUAUACGCACCACCACCUGAUCAGCUGGUAUACGAUGAUGAUUUUGUCCACAGUGGCCGAUAUGAUAUGAUGGGAUGCCCUAAGAGGCUGAUAAUGUUAUGAAACAUGUACCUAUGCACGACAUGANNNNNNNNNNNNNNNNNNNNNNNNAUAUUCAUACACAUAUGCAUGACGUUAAAAGUAAUUUAUGAGUUACAAAGUUAUUCAGACUUACAAGUUGAGUCAUGUACUCUAUAUGUCUUCCAUGUCUCUUAUGUAUUUAUUUAUGUGCCUUACAUACUCGGUAUAUUAUUUGUAUUGACGUACCUUUUGCCUGAGGACACUGCGUUUCAUGCCCGCAGGUCCCGAUAAACAGGUCAAGAGCCCUCCAAGUAGGCUAUCAGCUCAGCGGAAGAUGUUCGUGCGCUCCAUUUACUUCGGAGUUGCUCGUUUGGUUAAUAUGAUUUAGACGUGUAUUGUUUAGUACGACGGGACUCUAUCCCGACCUUUAUGGCAUUUAUGUAUUCUUAGAGACUUGUAGACAUAUAUCGUGUACGUAAAAGAUUGUACGGCCUUGUCGGCCUAUGUUUGACUUUAUAAAGGAUUAUGUUGGCCUAUUAGGCCCGUAUGUCAUGUGUAUAUGAUGAUGUAAUAAGGAAGAUACGUUACAUUGGUACUCGGUCGAGUAAGGUAUCGGAUGCCUGUCGCGGCCCAUCGGUUU
rnacentral:lncRNA from 1 species